ACUGUGGGAGACCUGAGGCAGGUGUCUAUAGGAAUUGGAUUUAAUCUUCAGGUGAAUUUAUGUAAUUUUUAAUAAAAGCAGGGAAAUAGUAAUCUAAAGUCUCUUCCAGGAAGAUUAAAUUGUACGAGCUGCUCUGACUGAAAUGUUGGCCAGUUAGGAAUACUGAAGCGACAUGUGUUAUAACACAUGGAAACUUGUGCGUUAGGAAUACCUAUUUAUCAAGCCACGUGCAAAGGACUCGUGCCAGAGCCGUAACGGAUGUGAUUUGUGGUAUUCGCGGAGCAACAACAAUUUGAAAACAAGG